rnacentral:rRNA from 1 species
AUUGAACGCUGGCGGCAGGCCUAACACAUGCAAGUCGAGCGGUAGAGAGGUGCUUGCAUCUCUUGAGAGCGGCGGACGGGUGAGUAAUGCCUAGGAAUCUGCCUAGUGGUGGGGGAUAACGUUCGGAAACGGACGCUAAUACCGCAUACGUCCUACGGGAGAAAGCGGGGGAUCUUCGGACCUCGCGCCAUUAGAUGAGCCUAGGUCGGAUUAGCUAGUUGGUGAGGUAAUGGCUCACCAAGGCGACGAUCCGUAACUGGUCUGAGAGGAUGAUCAGUCACACCGGAACUGAGACACGGUCCGGACUCCUACGGGAGGCAGCAGUGGGAAUAUUGGACAAUGGGCGGAAAGACCUGAUCCAGCAAU